GACGAACGCUGGCGGCGUGCUUAACACAUGCAAGUCGAGCGGUAAGGCCCUUUCGGGGGUACACGAGCGGCGAACGGGUGAGUAACACGUGGGUGACCUGCCCUCAGCUCUGGGAUAAGCCUGGGAAACUGGGUCUAAUACCGGAUAUGACUUCACAUCGCAUGGUGUGUUGUGGAAAGUUUUUUCGGCUGGGGAUGGGCCCGCGGCCUAUCAGCUUGUUGGUGGGGUGAUGGCCUACCAAGGCGACGACGGGUAGCCGGCCUGAGAGGGCGACCGGCCACACUGGGACUGAGACACGGCCCAGACUCCUACGGGAGGCAGCAGUGGGGAAUAUUGCGCAAUGGGCGGAAGCCUGACGCAGCGACGCCGCGUGGGGAUGACGGCCU
rnacentral:rRNA from 1 species